CAGCUAUGUAUGCAUCUCACUUUAUUCAGACCAGAAAACAAAACAAUCUCAAUCAAACCAGACUCAAACCAGCCGCCAUCACCGCUACCCAGAGCAGUGUUUCUCCAUGAUCAAUUAACGGAGAAGGGCAGGAAGUUAGGUCCAAAAAAGCUAUGAAAACAAGCCGUCUUGGACAUCUAAG